UUUUUCUUUAAAUAAAAACACUUCGAAAUAUUUGAAAUAAAAACACUGAAUCGGCUCAGGCUCGAACAUUGCUGCUUUUUUAUUACAGAGCAGGAACGUUGGAACUUGGAGCGGGACCGUUGGAGCUUGGAGCGUGAACGUUGGAGCCUAAUGCCAGCUAGCCAGGCUGUUGCAGGAAGGAUUCAUACAAAGAGCUAAAAUUAGAGGUAAUUAGGAGAUUCAUACAUUUAGCCUCCAACUGAAGGAAAAGGAAACCUCGAUUAAAAUCAGGGCAAGAGGAAAAAGAAGCCCCGGAUAAAAUCAGGGCAAGAGAGGGAAGAGGAUUUGUUGCAGUGGGAUUGAGCUUUCCAUUUUAAUUGGAGUGUUGUGUCAUCGGGCACAGAAGGUGCAUACAGUUGAUGGAUUGCAGCAUCGAAUGAUUUAUCUCUCUAAGUCUCUGCUGAAGAUUCAAACAUGCAAUGAAAUUCUUCGUUCGUGGUUAAAGGACUUGACAGGCCGGUUGUGAUCAGUCCCAGCUGAUGAUCCAAACAUGCAAUGAAAUUCUUGGUUCGUGGUUAAAGGGCUUGACAGUGAACUGGUUGGGAUCAAUCAGGGACAAUUUAAAAAAAAAGUUUGGACAAGUGAGAACUUGAACACAGGAAAUUCAUUGGAGGAUUUGUUCAACUUGAAAAUGAAGACUUCAAAGAAGGGAUCAACUUGUUGAAUAGAAGUACAAAAUAUGUAAAAUUUCAUUUAAACUGAAUAUUUUUUUUUUAUUGUAAACAUUCCCCAACAAUAUAAUUAAUAAAGAUAUACCAUUUUUUAGGAGGGGUAGAAAUACCCUUCCAAAAACUCUCAAAGAUGGUAAUGGACAUCUUUGAGAGUCUCCUGUUUUUUAUGCUUUUUAUUUUAUUUUAAAAGUUGGUAAAAAAUAUUAUUGUUGUAAUUUAUUUAAAUGAU